rnacentral:rRNA from 1 species
UGAGGAAUUUUGCGCAAUGAGGGAAACCUUGACGCAGCGACGCCUCGUGAACGAUGAAGUCUUUCGGGAUGUAAAGUUCUGUCAGCAGGGAAGAUAAUGACGGUACCUGCAGAGGAAGCUCCGGCUAACUACGUGCCAGCAGCCGCGGUAAUACGUAGGGAGCAAGCGUUAUCCGGAUUUAUUGGGCGUAAAGCGUGUGAAGGUUGUUAUGUAAGUUAGGCUGUUAAAUCCAUGAGCUCAACUCAUGUCAGCACCUAAUACUGCAUUACUAGAGUAUGUCAGAGGAAAGCGGAACUAAUAGUGUAGCGGUGAAAUGCGUAGAUAUUAUUAGGAACACCAGUGGCGAAGGCGGCUUUCUGGGGCACUACUGACACUAAUACACGAAAGCAUGGGGAGCAAACAGG